UACAGAGGUCCCAAGCGUUGUUCGGAUUCACUGGGCGUAAAGGGUGCGUAGGCGGUCGGGUAAGUCUGAUGUGAAAUCUCACAGCUUAACUGUGAAACUGCAUUGGAUACUAUCCGGCUCGAGGAAUGGAGGGGAGACUGGAAUACUUGGUGUAGCAGUGAAAUGCGUAGAUAUCAAGUGGAACACCAGUGGCGAAGGCGGCUCACUGGCCCGGAACUGACGCUGAGACGCGAAAGCGUGGGGAGCAAACAGG
rnacentral:rRNA from 1 species